AGGGGAGUGAAAAAGAACCUGAAACCGUGUACGUACAAGCAGUGGGAGCACAGGUUUACCUGUGUGACUGCGUACCUUUUGUAUAAUGGGUCAGCGACUUAUAUUCUGUAGCAAGGUUAACCGAAUAGGGGAGCCGGAGGGAAACCGAGUCUUAAUUGGGCGUUAAGUUGCAGGGUAUAGACCCGAAACCCGGUGAUCUAGCCAUGGGCAGGUUGAAGGUUGGGUAACACUAACUGGAGGACCGAACCGACUAAUGUUGAAAAAUUAGCGGAUGACCUGUGGCUGGGGGUGAAAGGCCAAUCAAACCGGGAGAUAGCUGGUUCUCCCCGAAAGCUAUUUAGGUAGCGCCUCGUGAAUUCAUCUCCGGGGGUAGAGCACUGUUUCGGCUAGGGGGCCAUCCCGGCUUACCAACCCGAUGCAAACUGCGAAUACCGGAGAAUGUUAUCACGGGAGACACACGGCGGGUGCUAACGUCCGUCGUGAAGAGGGAAACAACCCAGACCGCCAGCUAAGGUCCCAAAGUCAUGGUUAAGUGGGAAACGAUGUGGGAAGGCCCAGACAGCCAGGAUGUUGGCUUAGAAGCAGCCAUCAUUUAAAGAAAGCGUAAUAGCUCACUGGUCGAGUCGGCCUGCGCGGAAGAUGUAACGGGGCUAAACCAUGCACCGAAGCUGCGGCAGCGACACUGUGUGUUGUUGGGUAGGGGAGCGU
rnacentral:rRNA from 1 species